rnacentral:rRNA from 1 species
AACGUAGGAGACAAACGUUAUCCGGAGUUACUGGGCGUAAAGGGCGUGUAGGUGGUUUUGUAAGUCUGGCGUGAAAUUUUUCGGCUUAACCGGGAAAGGUCGUCGGAUACUGCAAGGCUAGAGGACGGUAGAGGCGUGUGGAAUUCCGGGUGUAGUGGUGAAAUGCGUAGAGAUCCGGAGGAACACCAGUGGCGAAGGCGACACGCUGGGCCGUACCUGACGCUAAAGCGCGACAGCAUGGGGAGCAAACGGG